UGGUGAACCAGCGGAGGGAUCAUUACCAGAGUUUUACAACUCCCAACCCUUCUGUGAACCUACCCAUCGUUGCUUCGGCGGACUCGCCCCAGCGUCCGGACGGCCCCGCGCCGGCCCGCGACCUGGACCCAGGCGGCCGCCGGAGACCACGCAACCCUGUAUCCAUCAGUCUCUCUGAAUCCGCCGCGAGGCAACACAAAUGAAUCAAAACUUUCAACAACGGAUCUCUUGGUUCUGGCAUCGAUGAAGAACGCAGCGAAAUGCGAUACGUAAUGUGAAUUGCAGAAUUCCGUGAAUCAUCGAAUCUUUGAACGCACAUUGCGCCCGCCAGCACUCUGGCGGGCAUGCCUGUUCGAGCGUCAUUUCAACCCUCGACGUCCCCCGGGGGACGUCGGCCUUGGGGACCGGCAGCACCCCCGCCGGCCCUGAAAUGGAGUGGCGGCCCGUCCGCGGCGACCUCUGCGCAGUACAACCACUCGCACCGGGAACCCGACGCGGCCCGCCGUGAAACCCCCAACUCUGAACGUUGACCUCGGAUCA
rnacentral:rRNA from 1 species